rnacentral:tRNA from 1 species
GGAGAUGUGGCCGAGUGGUUGAAGGCGCACGACUCGAAAUCGUGUAUGCGGAAACGUAUCGGGGGUUCGAAUCCCUUCAUCUCCGCCA